GACGAACGCUGGCGGCGUGCCUAAUACAUGCAAGUAGAACGCAGUUGCGAACGGGUGAGUAACGCGUAGGUAACUGCCUCAUAGCGGGGGAUAACUAUUGGAAACGAUAGCUAAUACCGCAUACUGUGCGAUGGACCUUCGUUGUAUUAGCUAGUUGGUGAGGUAAAGGCUCACCAAGGCGACGAUACAUAGCCGACCUGAGAGGGUGAUCGGGCAAACUGGGAAUGAGGAACGGCCCAGACGCCUGCGGGAGGGAGCAGGAGGGGAUCUUCGGCAAUGGACGGAAGUCUGACCAAGCAACGCCGCGGGAGUGAAGAAGGUUUUCGGAUCGUAAAGCUCUGUUGUUAGAGAAGCGGUAACUAACGAGAAAGGGACGGCUAACUACGUGCCAGCAGCCGCGGUAAUAC
rnacentral:rRNA from 1 species